CACAUGCAAGUCGAGCGGUAACAGAGAGUAGCUUGCUACUUUGCUGACGAGCGGCGGACGGGUGAGUAAUGCUUGGGAAUAUGCCUUUGAGUGGGGGACAACAGUUGGAAACGACUGCUAAUACCGCAUAAUGUCUACGGACCAAAGGGGGGGAUGCUUCGGAACCUCUCGCUCAUAGAUUAGCCCAAGUGAGAUUAGCUAGUUGGUAAGGUAAUGGCUUACCAAGGCGACGAUCUCUAGCUGGUUUGAGAGGAUGAUCAGCCACACUGGGACUGAGACACGGCCCAGACUCCUACGGGAGGCAGCAGUGGGGAAUAUUGCACAAUGGGCGAAAGCCUGAUGCAGCCAUGCCGCGUGUGUGAAGAAGGCCUUCGGGUUGUAAAGCACUUUCAGUUGUGAGGAAAGGGAUGUAGUUAAUAACUGCAUUCUGUGACGUUAGCAACAGAAGAAGCACCGGCUAACUCCGUGCCAGCAGCCGCGGUAAUACGGAGGGUGCGAGCGUUAAUCGGAAUUACUGGGCGUAAAGCGUGCGUAGGCGGUUUGUUAAGCAAGAUGUGAAAGCCCCGGGCUCAACCUGGGAACUGCAUUUUGAACUGGCAGGCUAGAGUAUUGUAGAGGGUGGUGGAAUUUCCAGUGUAGCGGUGAAAUGCGUAGAGAUUGGAAGGAACAUCAGUGGCGAAGGCGGCCACCUGGACAAAUACUGACGCUGAGGCACGAAAGCGUGGGGAGCAAACAGGAUUAGAUACCCUGGUAGUCCACGCCGUAAACGAUGUCAACUAGCUGUCUGUAGACUUGAUCUGUGGGUAGCGCAGCUAACGCGAUAAGUUGACCGCCUGGGGAGUACGGCCGCAAGGUUAAAACUCAAAUGAAUUGACGGGGGCCCGCACAAGCGGUGGAGCAUGUGGUUUAAUUCGAUGCAACGCGAAG
rnacentral:rRNA from 1 species